rnacentral:tRNA from 1 species
GUCCCAGUGGUUCAGUGGUAGAGCGUUUGAUAAAUGUGAAUUGGAUUCCGUACGGAAUGUAAAUAUUGUCAAAAGGUCAGGGUUCGAAUCCCUGCUGGGACU